AGGGCACGCAGGCUGGAGGCGCGCCGGCGUGAUUCCGACCGCGGGAGCCGGGAGGAGGAGCCGGAGGUGGCUGCGGGGGGCUCCGGCCCAGGCGUAGGAAGGGCAAGAGGCGGUUCGGGCCGGGGGCGGUGCCAGGAGGGAGGUUGUCCAUGCAACAAAGAGGGGCAUGAUGGAUGCUGAAAUAAGCGCUUUUUGCAACAAGAAAGAAAUAUGAACUCAAAGGGAGCCACCAGCAGAAUUUCUCUUCUCUGGCCUUCAUUCACAAAGUUUGAAGAGGCUUGUCUGGUGGCUGUGUGAAGCAGGCCAGUGAAGGAAUCUCUCUGGAUCUGUUCUCACCUGGGUGAGCUGAGGAUUCCAGAGUCCACACGCGUGCGCACCCGUGUGUAUGAAUAUGUAAAUUUCCACCCUGUAGGAGUAAAUCGAGACCUGGCUAAGAAUGCACAGUCCACCAGGAGUGCUGGACCGGUGUUGUCUUUCUUAUAGAACUAUUUACUUUUCUAAAACUAUUUUUAGUUAUGUGUAGGUGUGUGUGCACCUAGUUUUAAUUAUGUGUCUGUAUGUGGGCAGGUGCAUAGGAAUGCAGGUGAAGCAGGCCAGAGGCGUGGGAUGCCCUGUAGCUGAAGUUACAGAUGGUUGUGAGCUACCUAAUGUGUGUCCUGAGAUCUGAACUCUGGUCCUUUGGAAGGGCAGCAAGUGCGCUUAACCACUGAACCAUCUCCCCAGCCCUUGCGUUUCUUUUUGCUGUUGUUGUUUAGGAUUAACCCAGGGCUUUCCCCAUGCUAGGCAAGAGCAAGAGGACAAUGCUCUCUAUUUUAACUCUGAAGAUGCAUGCAGUGUGGACGGAAACAGUGGGCUUCAUGGUCAAGGUCCUGACAACAGUGUCAGCCAUGUAGGUAGAUGGGAUGUAGGUAGAGACACAAUACAUAGAGACAGAGUCUGCAGGGACCCACAGGCUUGGUCUUUUCCCUGGAGUGUCUCUGCAGGAGAGGACAGGACAGGCUGUUUCUCUUGGCCAUCGGGAGCCCAUGAACUGGAAAGGGGAAAUGUCUUGGCAAGGAACUAUAAAAUAAUCCAGAGACACCGGGCAGUGGUGGCACAUGCCUUUAAUCCUAGCACUUGGGAAGCAGAGGCAGGUGGAUCUCUAAGUUCAAAGCCUGGUCUACAGACUGAGUUCCAGGACAGCCAGGGCUACACAGAGAAAUCUUGUCUCAAAAAACCAAACAAAACAACAACAACAUAAAAGCCCACAAAUCCUGUUCAGAAAGGUUUUAGUAACUUGACAGUAAUCCCACAGCCAGCAGUGGUAUAUGGACACUUAAGUCCCAGUGACCUUGGCAUCACUCUAAUUGCCUCUUGCUACACAACAGAAAAAAAAAAAGUAGUUAUUAUAUAGUCUCAUAAUGAUUGAUCCUAGCAAGAAUGACUGCUCUAUUUAGUCCUUGACAUAGUUCUCUAACUUGGGGCCAGACCAGGGCCUCCUAAAGAGUUCUUAGAAAACACCAUCCUUUUAGGACCAAAAUCCCCACUAGUCCUUGGGUUUCCCCUAGUUUUGUGUUACUGUCUAAGGCUAACCUUGAAAGUAUUAACAAAAUGAUAAUUGUGAAGCUGAUUUUAAUUCCUUAAUCAUUAUUAAAAAGUCUCACAAACCACUCAUUAACUUUCUUGCUGGGAAAAAAAAUGAGAAAGGGCUGUGGAGAAGGCCCCAUUUGUUGUUGUUGUAAUAAUGUUGUUUGUUGUUGUUCUAUUUGUUGAAGGCCUCAUGGUAAUGGCCAGUCUAGGUGCUGUGGACACAGCUCAAAUGAAAGAGUCAUAAAUGUCCAGUCGCUUGGUACCUAUUUUCUGAAGGACAGAGAUACACAGCUUAAUUAAACAAAUAUGCAGUUCAUUUAGCCAGGCAUAUGGUUCACACCUAUAAUCUCAGCACUUGGGAAGCUGAGGCAGGAGAAUUACCAAGAGUUUAAAAAAUUAGCCUGGACUUCAGAGUAAAUUCAACUCAGCCAAGACAGCAAAAUGAGACUACAGACUGAGUGGAAUUACUCUCCACCCACCCAUCCCCGCAAAAAAAAAAAAAAAAAAAAAAAAAAAAAAAAUGGGAAAGGAGAAAGAAGAAAAAUUUUAAUUGUAUCUUAGUUUUAAUUAGGUAUAUGAGUGUGCCUGUGUGUGGAUAUGUGUGUGUGUGCAAGGUGCCUGUGGAGACCGGAAGAGGAGAGAGAUGCUCCAGAGCUGGUUACAGGCUUUGUCAGCCGCUUGACUGAAAUGCCAGAACUCCCGUCCUCUACAAGAGCAAUAUGCGCUCUUAACUGCUGAGCCAUCUCUCUGACACUGAAAAAAAAAAAAGCAAACCUUUUUUUAAGGUAGGAACUCACUAAAUAAUCAAGUGUGAGCCCAGACUAGCCUCAGACUCUACUGUGUAGCCCAGGCUGGCCUCAAAUUCUCUGCAACCCUUAUGUCUCAGACUCUCAAAUGCUGGGGUUGCAGGUAUGUUUGAAGAUAAUUAAGUGCUAAGGUAAAAAAUAAUAAUAAUAAUAAUUGGAAAUCAGAACAGUAUUAGGGGUACAAUUUUAUUUUUAAUAGAUUUAUUCUUAAUUUAUAUGUAUGGAUGUCUUGCCUGCAUCUAUGUCUAUUUCAUGUAUGCGCAGUGCCUGCGGAGGUGAGAAGGAGGUGUCAGAUCGAGGGGGUGCAGUUUUAAAUUGGAUGGUCUGAGAAGAUGGAAGUUAGGAGUGAGCCGGGACAGGAAGUCUCUACUAAUAACCGCACCUGUGACAUGGUUGCUGGUGGAAAUCACAGGUAUUUUCAUACUCCGUUACAGCUGUUACUAAUAGCCUAAAAUACCAUUACACAUCACUACCUCAAAUUAUGCUGUUCUUGUGACUUAAUAAAGCACACAUUACUGUGUUAUAGGUUUUGAAAAUAUCUUGAUCUCCACAUUUCAAUAUAAUUAGGAUUCUUCACAAUCCAUAGAACCUAUUCCCAGGGCUGCAGGAUGGUGGCUCAUACCAACUAUCCCUACCACCUGUUGGGCUGAUGGAGGAGGAGCAGGAGUUCAAGGUCAUCCUUGACUACAUAGCAAAUUUGAGGUCAGCCUAGGCUGCCUAAGGUCCUGGAUUCAACUCUCAGCAUCCCACUGCAAAAAUAGUAAAGCUGUUAGCCUCCAGAGGAAUUCAUAGGUAUCAGAGUACUUGAGUCCGUGGCACAAACAAAAUUAAAGGGCUAGCAGGCAGGAAGGUGCUCUUCAUAGCGUCCUCUCUGUAAAGGAUGAAAUGUGUAGGGCCUUGUAGGACCUUGUAAGGGAUCUGGCAUUUGCUGGAGUGAGAUGGGGCUUUUGAGCAGAAGAGGGUCAUGAUCUGACACUAGGUUUUACAGGUCACUCGGCUGUCACAUGGGAGAGUAGGCUGAAGCAGGAGCAGCGUUUAGGAUGGAGGAUGCUGCCAUGGACCAGAGUAGUAGCAGUGAGAAUGGCCAAAGUGGCCAGGUUCUUGUAAUGGAAGUUUUGGUGUCUUUAAAAACUCAGUUAUGUUACAUAAACAUGGUUUUGGUUUAAUCCCAGGUGUGGGAUAUUGGGCUGCCCUACAUUGUCCACAACAGCAGACUAUUUGACUGAAGCAGGCUCUGAAAAGGGCGUGAUCUCUGCCAGCUGCAGAUAGUUUAAUUCUGGGGAGGGACCUUGAGGCGGGGGGGAAUAAAUGCCAGAGCCAGGAGAGAGACAGGGGCCUCCAAAAAAGAAGUAGAAGCUGCUGUUUCUCCUCUGCUGCUCCUGGCUGCUGUUGUUACAGUUUCUUGAGAAGAAGUUGGAGAGAUCCUGAAAUGAAGAUUGGACUUUCCCCAAAGAACCCAACGACCCUAACCAGCAGGAAGUAGCUAAAGAGAACUGAGUCCCUCCUUCCCCCUCUAUUGUUGGGGGGGGAGAAUGAAGAAUAAGAACCCAAAUAAAAUAGAUUUUAAAAUAUAUGUGCUACAAGUUCUGUAUGUAUUUUAACAGAAUUUGCUGAUUGAAGAGAGAGAGAGGGGAGUUGAAAAAAUCAGAAGGCCUGGUGAGACCCCAUAGCAGGCACUUUCCACUAACUCCUACUACCCAAGCUUAAUUUCCCAAAUUACCCGGAGGAGUGAGAGAAUCAGCUCCUGCAUGUUGUCCUCUGACUUUCACACACAUGAUGUAGCAUGUGUAAGCCUAUGCAUACCCCCACACACCCUCAUACAUACAAACAAAUACAAUAU